GGGGAAUAUUGGACAAUGGGCGAAAGCCUGAUCCAGCCAUGCCGCGUGUGUGAAGAAGGCCUUUUGGUUGUAAAGCACUUUAAGCGAGGAGGAGGCUACUUGGAUUAAUACUCUAGGAUAGUGGACGUUACUCGCAGAAUAAGCACCGGCUAACUCUGUGCCAGCAGCCGCGGUAAUACAGAGGGUGCGAGCGUUAAUCGGAUUUACUGGGCGUAAAGCGUGCGUAGGCGGCUUUUUAAGUCGGAUGUGAAAUCCCUGAGCUUAACUUAGGAAUUGCAUUCGAUACUGGGAAGCUAGAGUAUGGGAGAGGAUGGUAGAAUUCCAGGUGUAGCGGUGAAAUGCGUAGAGAUCUGGAGGAAUACCGAUGGCGAAGGCAGCCAUCUGGCCUAAUACUGACGCUGAGGUACGAAAGCAUGGGGAGCAAACAGGAUUAGAUACCCUGGUAGUCCAUGCCGUAAACGAUGUCUACUAGCCGUUGGGGCCUUUGAGGCUUUAGUGGCGCAGCUAACGCGAUAAGUAGACCGCCUGGGGAGUACGGUCGCAAGACUAAAACUCAAAUGAAUUGACGGGGGCCCGCACAAGCGGUGGAGCAUGUGGUUUAAUUCGAUGCAACGCGAAGAACCUUACCUGGUCUUGACAUAGUAAGAACUUUCCAGAGAUGGAUUGGUGCCUUCGGGAACUUACAUACAGGUGCUGCAUGGCUGUCGUCAGCUCGUGUCGUGAGAUGUUGGGUUAAGUC
rnacentral:rRNA from 1 species